rnacentral:rRNA from 1 species
GUUCAGCAUGCAGAUCCAUUUUCUGCCACCGAAUACAUUAGCAUGGGAUAAUGGAAUAGGACCCUGUCCUCCUAUUUUCAGUUGGUUUUGGCAGCGCGAGGACUAGGGUAAUGAUUAAUAGGGAUAGUUGGGGGCAUUAAUAUUUAAUUGUCAGAGGUGAAAUUCUUGGAUUUAUGAAAGAUUAACUUCUGCGAAAGCAUCUGCCAAGGAUGUUUUCAUUAAUCAAGAACGAAAGUUAGGGGAUCGAAGACGAUCAGAUACCGUCGUAGUCUUAACCAUAAACGAUGCCGACCAGCGAUUAGGAGACGUUGAAUACAAAACACCACCAUCGGCGCGGUCGUCCCUGGCUCGUCGUCUCACGACGGCGGGCGGGGGCGGUUUAGCCCGAUGGCACCGGUGAAUGACUCCCCUAG